UACAGAGGUCUCAAGCGUUGUUCGGAUUCAUUGGGCAUAAAGGGUGCGUAGGCGGCGCGGUAAGUCGGGUGUGAAAUCUCGGGGCUUAACUCCGAAACUGCAUUCGAUACUGCCGUGCUUGAGGACUGGAGAGGAGGCUGGAAUUUACGGUGUAGCGGUGAAAUGCGUAGAUAUCGUAAGGAAGACCAGUGGCGAAGGCGGGUCUCUGGACAGUUCCUGACGCUGAGGCACGAAGGUCAGGGGAGCAAACGGG
rnacentral:rRNA from 1 species